rnacentral:rRNA from 1 species
UACGAAGGGUGCAAGCGUUACUCGGAAUUACUGGGCGUAAAGCGUGCGUAGGUGGUUGUUUAAGUCUGUUGUGAAAGCCCUGGGCUCAACCUGUGAACUGCAGUGGAAACUGGACAACUAGAGUGUGGUAGAGGGUAGCGGAAUUCCCGGUGUAGCAGUGAAAUGCGUAGAGAUCGGGAGGAACAUCCAUGGCGAAGGCAGCUACCUGGACCAACACUGACACUGAGGCACGAAAGCGUGGGGAGCAAACAGG